rnacentral:rRNA from 1 species
GACAGAGGGUGCAAACGUUGCUCGGAAUCACUGGGCGUAAAGGGCGUGUAGGCGGGAAGGAAAGUCAGAUGUGAAAUCCCUGGGCUCAACCCAGGAACUGCAUUUGAAACUCCCUUUCUUGAGUGUCGAGAGGAAGUAGGAAUUCCUGGUGUAGAGGUGAAAUUCGUAGAUAUCAGGAGGAACACCGGUGGCGAAGGCGGCAUCCUGGACCGACAUUGACGCUGAGGAGCGAAAGCCUAGGGGGAGCAAACGGG